rnacentral:rRNA from 1 species
GGGGGUGCUUCCAUCUGGAAGAAUCUGGAGACAGGUGCUGCAUGGCUGUCGUCAGCUCGUGUCGUGAGAUGUUGGGUUAAGUCCCGCAACGAGCGCAACCCUUGCCUUUAGUUGCCAGCAGUUCGGCUGGGCACUCUAAAGGGACUGCCGGUGUUAAACCGGAGGAAGGUGGGGAUGACGUCAAGUCCUCAUGGCCUUUAUGACCAGGGCUACACACGUACUACAAUGGCCGAUACAAAGGGCAGCGACACUGCGAGGUGAAGCCAAUCCCGUAAAAUCGGUCUCAGUCCGGAUUGGAGUCUGCAACUCGACUCCAUGAAGUUGGAAUCGCUAGUAAUCGUGGAUCAGCAUGCCACGGUGAAUACGUUCCCGGGCCUU